GCUUCUGACUACAAAUCCAGUGCUCUCCUUUACUCCACAUAUUGCCCGUGUCCUCACCAGCAAAGGUCAGUGCACCAGGGACUCAAGGUCAUCUGAAAAGAACACGUGGGUAGAGUCUCUGAAUCUGGAACACGAACUGCAGGAAUUGGAACGUUCAGUCUGAAACACACACCGGGGAAGAAUGUGUGGGAACCAGCCUGGGCGAAAACCAGCUGCCUCCUGGCUCUGGGACUGGUCCUGCAACUUGAUGCUAUUCUUGCAACCCCAGGAGUUGAUCUGACACAUGGAAGCAGAGACCUUGUCUCCCUUAUCAGCCUGGGGCUGACGACUGUGAGCUCUUCUUUUUUUCUCCCCCAGUGCCUGAGGAAGGGAGAAGGAGAGGGGGAAGGGGGAUGUAGAGGCUGGAAAGUUAGCCACUCCCCGAGGGACUCCUGGUAUCGAUAACACGGAGAAAAUUCAAACCAGCUGCUUGAGGCCUCUGUGGGCCCGCAGAGGCUCUCCUCCCUCCCCCACUUAAAUCUUUGGAAAAAUGCCAGAAGCCAAGGGAAAUUACUGCAGUAGGAAAUUCAACCACCAGCCUGCCAAGACUCUAUUUAUCACCCUCACUGGCUGAAUCAUCUUGGAGCCCCGAGACUAUGGGAUUCAUGAGCUUGCAAACACAUACUCGUGCCCAGCUCACGUGUCAGGUGAAGAAACUGUAUCUCAGAGAAGUGAAUGGUCUUGCCGAGGGUCAGCUGGUAACCGCUGUCAGAGCUCAGACUCAAACCCAAUGUUCUAAGAUCGGUUAUCUUUCUGCUACACCACCUGGCUGCUUGACAGAAAUGCAAACAAGCCUCCGUUUCUUCAAAGCUAUCAUUAAAAAUUCACCCUCUGCAGUAACCUUGGCUGUAUCUGCAUACACAGUUCCUGUGCUUAUUUAUACAACCCAGUCAUGUUGUAACUAAAGUGCCCCUUGACUAGUGGAACUGGAGCCAAAGUCAGGUGGCCCGGGCUCCCACUCUGGUUCAGCAAUUAAUUUAUUGUGUAACUAACCUCAGGCAAGUCACUUUUUCCUUCUCUGUGCCUCAGUUUCCUUAUUUAUCCUAUUUCUCAACCCUCUCACACCUACCAUGUAUCUCUCCAUUGUCCUCUGGGUGAUAGCUGUUUUCUGUCUUUGUCUGAUGAUCUAUUAUGUGUCUCACAGUGACACCAUAAUACUAGCAAAAUAUUGGGAUAAAAAUGACGAGCCCUUGUUUCUGGGAAAGUGUGGGGUCAUUAAAGGAGUUUCGCAAUUUACUGAAAAAAAUCUAUCUUACUUUCCUCCUGGUUAAUUCCAGGCUCAACUUCUUCCUUUAUAUUAUCGUUCCAGAUAUACAUUUUGAUGACCAAGCUCUACACAUCGUGGAUGAUAAUGUGAACAAUGGAUACUCUUCACCCGCUUGGUUUUUUUCUGUGUGGGUGGUCAGGCUUGACUCUCUGGGGAUAGUUAUAGACCUCUUCUAGGAGGCUCUGCAAUGUCCUGGGAAAGUAUCUCAGUGUUCUUUUUUCUGGUUUUUUUCUUAGCUUCCAGAUUGUGAGUUCCUUGAGGGCAAGAGCUACAUAUUUUCCUUUUUCUUUUUUUCUGUUCUCUCUGACAUGGCUGAGUCAUUUGGCAUGCUGGGCCUUCGAAGAGUCAAGUCAGGACACCUAACUUGGAAUCCUGGCUAUGCCACCAUUGUAUUCGCUAUAUGGUUUACUGUCAAAUCAUUUCCCUCUCUCUGAGUUUCAGUUUCCUCUUCUUUUAAAAAAAACAAAAGGCAUAGCAGAGGGCCUCUUAGAGAGCGUCUCUAAGGCCCCUGGCAGUCCUAAUGUCCUAAGACUCUAUAGUUCCAGAGGCCUUUGUUUGGAAACAGAACUCCUUAAUUCCGCCCAAGUUGUUGCUCAGAAGACCAGAGCAUCAAGCCAUACUACCCAGAUCUCUGAACCUAUCAUCUUAUGCCCAUUCUCUGAUGAUUCAACCAGUGAAGCUCAGAAAGGCUCCUUGCCAGAAGGUGGGAUCCUGAGAUAAGGAAACUGUAAUCCUUAGAAGUUCAUCAAUUUGCCUGAAGUCACCCAGUCUUAAAGGAAUGAAAUCACCUGGUAAAAUUUUUGCCCUAUGCACAUAAGAACACACGUACCGUUAACUUCUGACAGCAUGGGCUUUCCUCCAAAAGACCGGAAUUCUGGGAUUCUCUAACGUUCCAUCAACUACAAGUGUUCAUGGUCCCAGACUAAAAGGGAGCUGGCAGACAGACAUACUCACCAUGGAGCCUAGCAGGAGCUCUCUGCAGUCAGGUGACAUCAUUGAGGUGUUCAGAGAUAAGGACACAGAGUCAACUAGUGGCAUAAUCAUGACUUAUGAUAAUAAUAACUCACAUUUACAAGGCAUUUUCUUCACAAUCACACUUGAGGGAGAUUUACAUAUUUACACACUUAGGAUGUUUCUCAUUGGCUAACCCCACAAAGAUGAUCUGUAUCUAAGGAGCCAGCACUGUGAGAUGGUCUUCCAAGGCUUUCAGAUGCUGUAAUCACAGAGGCUCCAGGGGAUGUCUCAAGGUCAAUAGAGAGCCCAUAGACACAUCAAAGAACAAAGGAGGAAAACUGGGGUCUAUCUUUGUGGUUGAAUGUUGGAUCGGUCAGAUCAUAUUUCAACAAAACAGCAAAGGAGACAGCACGGAGGAGUGGAAAACAAAGCACUGGCUCCAGAAUCAGAGAACUCGGGUUCAGAUUUCUUGAUACUAUGAGCUGUCAGCCUGAUUAUCACCGAGUCUCCCUAAGCCUAUACCCUCAUCUGUAAAAUGGGUGAGUUGGAGUAAGUAGUCUCUGAGCAGCCUUCCAGCCAAAGAUCUACGCUCCUGUGUUCAUCAUGGAAAGCAGGAAUUGGCAACCUACAGCAAGUGGCCCGUUUUUGUAAAAAAGUGAAAACUAUUCUUAGCUCACUUGACUGGCCUUACAAAGACAGACAUGAGGCUGGAUUUGGCUCUCAGGCCACAGUUUGCCAUCCCAAUACAUUGUCUGGUUUUCUGUCUGUGUCAUUGUCUCACCAGCCUACAUGCGCAACAAAAGAAGAGAUCGUGUCUUUCCCAACUUUCUAUUUCCCCCAGCACUGAAUGGAGUGUUCUGGACAUUUCUUAAAACUCCAUUAUUUCAUAGGUCAAAGAUUUCAUCCAUAGACAUUACCUCCACUAACGAAAAUCAUGACUCUUCUAUAAUUUACCCUGUCUCCAAGUUUCUGUGGCUGACCUGAUGAGAUACAUUUCCAAAACUGGAGAAGGCUAGUCCUUGGAACAACAGACAUGGAGCCCAUCACGUAGCCCACACUCAGAUUAUUUGGUUGGAUCUGUCGGAGCCUGUGCUCUGUUGGCAGAUGUUUACACACAUUUGUUGAAUUGAAUUAGAGGGGCAAAAUGUAGAAGUGGUCUAUAUUCUUUAAAUGUCUUUAAAUGGGACAAAAAUUUUUGUCUCACACUCAAGGAUUUUCCAGGUUGGUAAUAAUAUUUGCCUCUAGGUUUGAAGGUGGCAAAUGUUCUAUUUCAUUCAUCAAAGGAGAAAGGUUUCAGCCAGUAGGACCAAUUUUUCUGAAGAAUUACUGUUGCUUUCACAAUUUU